rnacentral:rRNA from 1 species
GGGCCCGCACAAGCGGUGGAGCAUGUGGUUUAAUUCGAUGAUACGCGAGGAACCUUACCAGGGUUUAAAUGCAGAACGACAGGGGUGGAAACACCCCCUUCUUUGGACGGACUGCAAGGUGCUGCAUGGUUGUCGUCAGCUCGUGCUGUGAAGUGUCGGGUUAAGUCCCAUAACGAGCGCAACCCCAUUUCUAGUUGCCAGCGGUUCGGCCGGGGACUCUAGAGAAACUGCCAGGCGUAAGCUGUGAGGAAGGUGGGGGAUGACGUCAAAUCAUCACGGCCCUUACAUCCUGGGCCACACACGUGCUACAAUGGUGGGGACAACAGGUUGCCAACCCGCGAGGGUGAG